rnacentral:rRNA from 1 species
UAGGGAAUCUUCGGCAAUGGACGGAAGUCUGACCGAGCAACGCCGCGUGAGUGAAGAAGGUUUUCGGAUCGUAAAGCUCUGUUGUAAGAGAAGAACGAGUGUGAGAGUGGAAAGUUCACACUGUGACGGUAUCUUACCAGAAAGGGACGGCUAACUACGUGCCAGCAGCCGCGGUAAUACGUAGGUCCCGAGCGUUGUCCGGAUUUAUUGGGCGUAAAGCGAGCGCAGGCGGUUAGAUAAGUCUGAAGUUAAAGGCUGUGGCUUAACCAUAGUACGCUUUGGAAACUGUUUAACUUGAGUGCAAGAGGGGAGAGUGGAAUUCCAUGUGUAGCGGUGAAAUGCGUAGAUAUAUGGAGGAACACCGGUGGCGAAAGCGGCUCUCUGGCUUGUAACUGACGCUGAGGCUCGAAAGCGUGGGGAGCAAACAGGAUUAGAUACCCUGGUAGUCCACGCCGUNNCGAUGAGUGCUAGGUGUUAGACCCUUUCCGGGGUUUAGUGCCGCAGCUAACGCAUUAAGCACUCCGCCUGGGGAGUACGACCGCAAGGUUG